rnacentral:lncRNA from 1 species
GAAUACCUCGUCACGUCAUGUGGCUUCUCCCCGGAGAAGGCGACCAAGGCCUCGAAUCUCCUCGGCGGCAUCGCGUCCCGCCGGCAGCCCGACUCCGUCCUUGGCUUUCUCAAAAGCCACGGUUUCGACGACACCCAUGUGAAAGAGCUGCUGUCUGGGAACCCCCGGUGGCUUCUCCUCGACGUGGAGAAGACCCUGGCCGCCAAGUUCCGAGCUCUCCAGGAGUUAGGCUUCUCACAGUCCGACAUCACCCAACUCGUCCUGACCAAUCCCUCCGCAAUCAACUACCACAUCCGCACCGUCGUGCACAGGAUCCGGUUUUGGCAGGGACUCAUCGGAUCCAACGACCUCCUCAUAAAGCUCUGUAAUCACCACCAGUGGCUUCUCGGGUAUAGCGUCGAGAAGAGGAUCCAGCCAAACAUCGAUAUGCUACGGAGCUGUGGAUUCACGGAUCAAAAGCUUAGAACGAUCCUGGGGUACCACCCCACGUUGGUAACCCAGAGGGCGGAAACCUUGAGGACCUUGAUCAGUCGUGUCGAGGGAUUCGGAGUAGCCCGCACCUCGCCGAGGUUCCACUUGACUCUGUGGAUGCUCUCCAAUGUUAGCGUGGAGAGAUUCAAUGCGCAAAAGAAGCUAUUCGGGGCCUUCGGGUGGUCAGAGGCCGACUUCCUCGACGCAUUCAAAAAGACUCCUGGUUUCUUGACAAGUUCCUUGAAGAAUCUGAAGAUGAAAAUGGAAUUCUUGGUGAAUGAGGCUGGAUAUGCUCCGUCUUAUAUCGCCCUCCGGCCUGUGCUUUUGACAUAUAGUUUAGAGAAAAGGGUGAUCCCAAGAUAUCAGCUCAUGGCAGCCCUGAAGUCCAGGGGGCUGUGCGCUGGUCAUCCCAAAUUGUUCACAUAUAUCUCGUGUUCAGAGAAGAAGUUCUUGGAAAGGUAUGUCAUCAUCUACAAGAAGCAGUUUCCGGAGCUCAUUGAAUUGUACAGUGCGAGAAAAUAGUAGUUCUGGAUUUGCUAGCUGUAGAUUUUGGUUCCUGCAAUCCAUGGUUUCAGGUUCCAGCCUUUUACCCUCUGCUUAACUUGAUCUGCAGUUUGAGACUUAUUAGUAUUAUGAUUUAUGUCAUUUGCUUCCUUUUUUUCUGGUGCAUUAAGAGGAAUGUAGCUGCAUACAUGUAGAAAGAAAGGAAAGCAAUAUGAAGUGGAACACAAUGACUUCUUGUAGCAUGUUGAUUCGGUCAAUUGUUUCCUGAUAAUUACCUGCAUAGGAAAAAUUAGAUACUGUAGGAAUUUGUAGGAAUUGAGACUGUUGUCCCAUUCUUUUUUUUUAACCUACUUCUGGGAACACAUUUGGCAGACGUGUGUGCUUGUGUGUGUGUGUCGUGGUGACUAUGAAACUGAAACAAAUUCUUUGUUUGAUCUAUGGCUCUCCUUGAUGUGCAUUGAAGUAGAUGCUUUGCUUAUGUUGUAGCUGAUAUCAUUAUGUUAUCAUGAAGAAUUUUGAGAUGAUGGUUUCAAAGGUCACAUUACUAUUACACUAUGGAGUUAUGGUUGCAUCGUUUUUUUCUCCUUUGAUGAAAAAUUGGUGCUUUUGAUCGAUUUUGACAUGAUACGUCGAAUCUGCAUGGAUGUUGUCUAAGAUUGAUCUAAUUUUGGUCGGUUUCUCAGCUGAAUCAGCUAGAAUCCGUUGAAAAUACUUGAGUUUAUUGAUUUUUGGGUGAAUUUUACACUACUUGAUGACCUCAAACUCAAAGGGAAGAAAAAAGAGGACGGAAGGAGAAGAAGAAAGAAAAGAGGAAAGUUGAGAUGGUGAAACGAUAAAAGAAAAAAGAGAAAACUGUGAUUGUGAUUCUAAAUCAGAGGAGGGAACAUUGCUUUUGCUUUGCUUGCUAUUCACUGCAUCCAUCCACUGCAUUUGUUGUUUGCUACUACAUCCAUCGGGUAGAAUAGAUGGAGGAUUACAGGCAAAAGGAAGAGGACAGAAGUAACCCAUAACCUAAUAUGAACUGUGCCUGCUCCUUAUAUUUAUUAAGUUUUAGCCAAUGAUUUUGAGACUUUGGAAAAUUGUGAACUAGUGAUUGCAUAGUGUCCAUAAUCAUGUAUACAUUGCAGAAGCACUUCUUAUUGUUUCGUCAGCAUCAGUAUAGAAUAGGCAGCAUGUUUGGUUGGUGCAAUCCGAUCAAUAAAAGAAAAUAUUUCACAGGUUUGUGGCUUGUGUUCGUGAGCCCUCUUCCCCUUACAUGCAAGCAUGAACGAUUGUUGUUGUCCGCUGUCCAUUGCUCUGUCAUUGAUUUCAGGUAUGCUUCCUCCACCUCUUCCUUCUGCUUCAUCCUCAUCCUCCACUAUUUACUCCUUUCUUCGUUUAACUCCUUACUCUUCCUUUUUUUUUUUGUCUUUCUCGAUGGUCUCAUCUUCUUUCUUCCUCUUUCUCCUCCCUACUCUUAAUACAUGGCUUUCUCUUUUUCUUCGUCCGCCUUCCUCUUUCUUCAUCCACUUUCAUUUGAUUCUUCCUUUUCGAGGCUUCAGAACAUACCGGUACAUAAUGUGUCAGUAUAUUGGUAUCUCAAUCUAUGGAUUGGUACGUAGCGGUCUGGGCAGAGACAGAUAAGUUACUAAUCAGUAAGAGACUAUAAACGCUGGUGCACUGCAAGCUUCAGUCGUACAAGUGCUCGACAACUUGGAAGAGUUUUCAUUUGCUGCUCAGUAUCUGCUACAAAGCUCUUCUAUCGUUAGCGGUGGAAGGUAAGUUUGUGUAUGUUAACACUACCCUGUAUACCACUGAAAAGUGCAUUUUACACAGAAUUAUGUUGUAUUGACGUUUUGGGGGAAAUUUUAGUUUAAAAUUUGCUGAAUUUGGCUCUUAUAAAAUGCAUUAACAGUUAAAAAAUGACAGCAUGAGUUGAUGAUUGCAUAGAUGUGAGCAAUAAGAUGCUAAAAUGGAUCCUAAUUCUACCUAAUAACUGGAUCAAAAUGAAAGUUUCAAUUAACCGGAUUAAUUCGUUGAUUAAAAUGAUCUAAAAAUUGUAUCCAAAUGGACGAAAUCGAUGAACCUUCUUAUCCUUCCAUGAAAAGAUAAUCCUCAAGGGGCAAAUGCAAGAUCGAAUCCGAUCAUACAACACCAUACAACACAUGAACCCUAAUCCUCAUGGAACGAGAUGGGUUAAACAAUGUGGACCUGGUUAGAAUUAAAUAUUUAUCCUAAUUUUAAUAACUAUUUAUAUAUAUUAUAUUUUGCAAUACCAACUGGAUCCGUGGCGCAAUGGUAGCGCGUCUGACUCCAGAUCAGAAGGUUGCGUGUUCGAUUCACGUCGGGUUCAACUUUACAAUAUUUUCACAUUUCGUUUUUGUUCCACUUGUGAUUGGAGCACUGAACGGCCCCACAAGUGGACCCCAUCCGAUUCUUACGCUCCUUUUCAAAUUUUCGAUUUCCUUUUUCUAUACCUUGUGAUUGGAUUACGGGACGGACCCACUAGUGGACCCCAUCGAUCAUAGCUCCCUUUCCUUGUGUGAGAAAUACAUUUAUAAAACACUAAUUUUAGCCUAAUUUCAAUCUAUCGAGAUGUCAAAAUAUCAGUAAAAAAGGAAGAAAAUUAGCUGAUAAAUGAACACAUGAAUAAAUUUGUGGCACAAAAUCUAGGUUCGAACAAUUACAUACAAUACGGUUUUAAAAAAUAACAUUAAUCUAAAUAUACACAAAUAUAUAUAUAUAUAUAUAUAUAUAUAUAUAUAUACCUCAUCCAAAUCCCCUUUCUUCCUGUCCCCAUUCUCCGUCCGCGAUACAUCGUCGUCGCUUUCCUUCGACAAAUGCGAAGAGAAGACAAAGAUUUGGAAUUCAACCGCUGGCCAAUUCGAAGCCCCAUUUGGUUUGGCUCCCCCCCUUCCGCCUUCCUCCCUUUUCUUGCUCCGAAUUAAAUCUUCUUAUGUGACGUUUGUCGUCUGAAACGACGAUUCUCUUUGGUAGCAUACAUUUGAUUCGUCUACACGAGGAGGAUUGUGGUUUGACUUAAAUGAGUACUGUGGGUUAUCAACUUGUUUUCAUGAUAAAGGGGAAUGACAAAGAAAGCCUGACAAAAUUGCCAACCAUGACAUGAAUCCCAACACAUUAUUAUGUUCCGCUGAAGUUUCAUUGGACUUAGCCUGAUUAAUUCUUUCAUUAAUUUGUUUAAUGCUUAUAAGGAGCAACAUACAGUUAGAUGACGUGUAGAAUGUAUCCAAAUUGUGAAAUUGGAGCUAUAAUUUCUCCCGUUGCACUACACAUUCGAUGACCUAGAAGUGGCAGAAAAUGAAAUAUAACUUUUACAUGGCAGUUUUAAUACUUAGAUGCAAGUGUUGGGAAUCUCAUUAGUUAUUGGAAUCGACAAGAUACUUUAUAUGAUCCACACGUCCGAUAAUAAUAAUGACCAAACACAUUUAUCAACUAGUCAUAAAUGAGAGACUUUUCAGAUAUUUAAAAUUAUUUUAAAUUGUUUUGAUGAUGAAAGAAAGCAUUAAGUAUACUUUUAAAAAAAAAUAAAGGAUUGAUGUUCCUUUUCUGGCCUAUCUAUACCAUUAAGGGAUAGACAUUAAGUUCCAUAAGACAUAGAAUAGAAGACACCAAUUGUUUCUUAAUAAAUUAAUCUAAGGAAUCCACUAUGUGAAUUAAUCAAAGGCUUAUUUUUGGACAACUAUGACUCAAGGUAAGUUUAUUUCGUUGCAUGUCCAUUAUAAAUCCAUUGUUUUGCUUACAACAAGAACAUUUCAAAUCUGUAUGUAUAUGAGUUUUCUGAUCUAUUGUUCUCAAUAUUAUUUUUUAAAACUACAUAGAAAGAAAACAAAAGUGGUGAAUAAAAAUGUAAUAUUUAGAUGGUAAUUUUAACUUUUAGAUACAAGUGCACUUCGAGCCUGUAUGCCUUUGCAUUUAAUAAUUAUUCUUUUUGAAUAUUGUUCUCCGACACUACUUAGAAAGAAAACAUAAGAAGGUGCUACAAAGGUGCAUACACAGACUUCUUGUAUCUGUGCUGCAAGAAGUACUUGUGACACUUGUUCUAUGGCACAAAAUGUGCUGUUGGUUUCUCUGGUACUUGAGUGACACACUAACCUCAGCUCUAGUAGAUCAUGUGUACAAUGUGAUCUUACAUGUUGUUGUUCCUUUUUUCAUUUUUUUUGUAAACUUGUUAUGUCCAAGGUUGUAUUACUCCUUUCUGUUCAAGAACAUGCGAAAAAUGCUGAUUAUUUCAGUGCUUUGACUUUUAUUUCAUGUCUCAACAUGCUUUGUAAUUAAUCUUUGACUAUUUGUUACAUGUGCUGUUGCUUACUGAUGGGGUCAAGGAUUUCAAAUAACGUUUGUGAUUGAAACUGAGGAUUUGAAAUAAUGUUUGUGACUGAAACUGAAUAGAUAGAUUUGUAAGGCAACAGAGAUUCUCUGAUGAACUCUAUCUCAACGAAUUGUCACGGACUUAGCUAGUUUUGCCUAAAUCGUGCGGCACCCUUGCGUGUCCGUCCAUAAAGGUCAGCCUCCCCGAAACCUCCAAUGAUCCCUUAGGACCUACAAAAGAGAAAACGGGUUAAAGAAAGUGCCUCACUCGGGAUCCACAAGCAAAAUAUCAGAAAACACAUCAUAGUCAAUGCAAAUUACAAACAUACUUUACAAGCUCCGAACGGUUGCACAACAAAGGAUUUAAAAUGGUCUACUACAGACCGAAAUCUCCUACAAGUGUCCAUAUGACACAACCUUUAUUUACAAACCUAAAACGACCACCCAAACCCAACUAAAAUGGGGUUGUUAAGCCUUCGACCGUCCUUCUAUAUGCUGUGCAAGGCAUGAACAUACCAAAAGACACAGACAUACGUAAGCAUUACAUCAAACAUCCUGUUUAGAAGUUUGUCCGUGACAUUCUUCCCCACCCAUUCCUUCGACGUCCUCGUCGAAGCCUUUGCGACAUUGCAACUCCUCAUCUUUGCUGAGUCUUCAAUCUAUUGAUCUAGCUGCAAUGCACCUCUUGGCUCCCAGCUACUCUCCGCUACUGUUAUUGAGUAGUUGAAUUUUUGAUCCGCCAUGCUGCUUCAACUCGCUAAUGACUCUGACUCUAGUGUGGGGUUGGCUGAGUUGUGUUGAUUCCUGUUGGUUCCUGCGGAUCCUUCAGAUGAAGGAAAAGACUAUCCUUACUUUGCGCCAGUCUCUCAAAUGACUCAUGCUGCUUGAACUGGGUGGAUGCUUGUUGGAGCUUUGACGAGCAUCGCCUCGCAAAAUUUUGAUGUUUUUAGGUCAUUCCUCCAUAAAAUUUGUCCAUCGACUCUUCUUUCACUUAGUUAUCCCUUCUAAGUAGGUUCGCAUCACUUCGCUUUCGAUUGACAUUUCGUUGGAAAAUAAAGCGGACAAUCUACUCUCAAUAGCACUGAUCACCAUUGAUGAGGAUUUAACAACUAUUGUCUUCCAUUAUCUUCGAAUGGUCUUUGAACCUGUGCAGAACUACUCUGUUGGAUAAAUAAGAGAAUUGGGGUACUCGGUUUCGCCCAUUCUCUUAAGAGUUGAGAAGACAAAGGUUACUUGACUUCACCCGCCUCCUCGAGGGUUGUACUCCAUGUAUCGAGCUGAUUACUGGCCUUCACCUGCUCUUUGCUCAGACUUCUGAAGCACUUGAAGUGUUUGCACUCCUUGCGUUGAGUUAGUUACUGUGAUUCACCAUCUCAAUGUUAUCUUAACUUCUAGAAUGCAGGAAGUUUUCACCCCAACUUGGAGUAAGUCUCUAGUAGUUUUGGUCGCCUCUAGGAUUGUACCGUCUUCUCCAUCAACCUUGUCGCCUACUCCACAGAGUAGCAAAGGUACAGUACCGCGUACUCCACAGAAGUCCUUCACUUUCGGCUAUCUUGAUGAGAAGCUCAUUAACACCGGUCUUACGAAGUUCCCUAGCCUCUACCCUUCAGCCUUGUCUCAGUACUUGGAGUUUGCCUCUACAUUCUCCACCUCCUCGGCCCCUUUCACGACCAAGCGUUCUCCCUCCAUGAGAACAAGGGAUCGAUGACUUCACGGAAGUCCCACUUCUGCGGUACUAUGGCACUGCCAUGCCCAUGGCCCUACUAUCCGUCACCUCAUAUCUGCAUCCCUUUUCUUCAUUAUCAGUAGAUCUGCCUCUGUGGCACUUCUUCGAGGCCACCUCCAUUCUAACCGAUGCUUUGUUUUGGGUAGCUAAGUCCCUUUGGACUCGUCGUCACUUCCUUGCCCCUUUCAACCCCCUACUUCAACACCUCUGUAUACUCCAAGCAGUUCCCCUUGGUCGACGGAAAGACAGACUGCAACUCUCAUGCAUGGCCUCUGCCAUCAUGUUGUAGGGUUUGCACCAAUUCUAUUCUCCUUAGUUUCCUUGGUAGCAACGUUCGCUUACUCGACCUUGUCCUUUGACUUGCCGGGCUCCCUUAAGUGAAUAUGAGCUCUAGAGUAGUCCAACUCUCCAACCGCUCCGAUCAUACCUCUGUAUGAUCAAGUCCCCUCAUGGGACUUCCUGGUACUUGCAUUCGAACUUUUCUUUCGAUGUUACACAACCCCCAUAUGCUGAUAACCAAGGCUUUCAUCCGAUAUAAUAUUCGAUGCAUGCACGGAAGACCCGCCUCUGCGAUACCAUGACAUUCACUCCUUGAAUUCAUAGCCUUUCUUACCACCGUGUUGUUCAUCGAAGUGGAACUCCCAGUAGCUCCCGAUCAUUCCUCCGUAUGAUAUAGUCCCUUACGGGAUUAUAUUCGUGUGUAUCGCAUUGCCACGAACUGUUCCACCACGAUCCGUUGCACCAUGUCGCCUUUUGGUGACAUCUCCAUUGCAUUCUGAUCCUUGUGGGAUGAACUCGGAUUGUGAUCCCUUCAUGUGUGACCUCUGCCAAUACAUCGUAGGGCCUCUUCAACUUUCAAUUUGUGUUCGCUCCUUUGGCAAUCAGUCUUUGUCCACUCGCUCUCGGGUCACACCUAGAUGAAGCACCACUCUAGGACAAUCUGUCACCUAGUAGCUCUCGAAGUCCACCGACUUCGCUGAAAUUGGUGCACUAUUGUCUAGAUCCUGGGUCUUUGAGCACCAUCAAGUAUGGUUGCCAACGUUGAGUCGUAGCUCAAACUCAGCCAUCCUAACCUUUGUGCGCUACGCAUUCUUUUCAACUUGCUUGUCCUCGUGGUGCCUCUUGCGCGAAGGGUUGGCCAUUCCUCUAAAUGCCACUCUCAGAUGCCCGCUCCUCUGAACGACUCCUUUUCCCUACAUCUUCAUGCCCGUUCUCCCCAAAACGGUCGCGCGUGCUGGCUGCCCUCAAUGCAGCCCCGCUAGGUCCCCCACGUUUGCAUGCCAAGUAUUUCUAUGAGUGCUUGUCUCGCUCUGAUACCAUCUGUCAUGGACUUAGUUGGUUUUGCCUAAGUCGUACGGCACCCUUACGUGUCCGUCCGCAAAGGUUAGCCUCCCUGAAACCUCUCAUGGUCUCUUAGGACCUACAAAAGAUAAAACGAGUUAGAGAAAGCGCCUCACUCGGGAUCCACAAGCAAACAUCUCAGAAAACACAUCAUAGCCAAUGCAAAUUACAAACAUACUUUACAAGCUCCGAACCGUUGCACAACAAAGGAUCCAAAAUUGUCCAUUACAAAUCGAAAUCUCUCACAAGUGUCCACAUAACAUAACCUUUAUUUACAAGCCUAAAACAACCAUCUAAACCCAACUAAAAUGAGAUUGUUAAGCCUUUGACCGUCCCUCUAUAUGCUUUGCAGGGUAUGAAUAUACCAAAAGAUACGGACAUACAUAAGCAUUACAUCAAACAUCCUAUUUAGAAGUUUGUCCGUGACAGAAUGGCUGUUAUAAUAUUUUGGUCUUUGUUAUAUACAUAUUUACAUGAAUUUUUCCUGUGAAAUUUAGUUUUGUGGUAUAAAGCACUAUUAUCAGCAUGGUUUCUUUACUGUUUAUCUAUAUCUAUAAUGUUUCAUGUUGUGUUUUUCUUGGACUGCUCAUUCAGUGCUGUUAAUUCCCUGCUUUUCAGUUUUUCACAAGGAAUCAAUAUUCUUGACCUUACAUGCGAUUCAAUUAUAGGCUUUUGGAAUUGUUCCUCCAUACUGAAACAUUAGCAUUUUUGUGACAAUGGAAAAUUUGAUUUGUUAUUCUUAUUUUUUGUAUUUCUUGGAGUUUUAAAGUAUGACAUUGGUAUGGACUUCAAAGUAAAUUGAACGGUGCAAUUCUGUAGUUCUGUACUAGAUGCCCUUAGUUCUGGAAGAUGAUGGACUGAAGUAGGUGCAGUGGCAUUGAUAUCACAUCACACACAGGUUCUUAAUGCUAAAGCCCACGCUGCUAAUUUUGUGGCCUUUACAUCUCCUAUCAUUUUUCUGCACUUUCUUCCUUUAGUUGUUGUCUAUGUCAUGUUUGCUAAUAUUCAUAAUCAAUAGAAGACUAUAAUAUAGUAUUCUAAGGUUAUGCUGUUUUUUGUCGACCUUCAGGGUUCUUUUUCAACACAUUCACUGAGUUGUAGUGCGUCAAGUAGAAGGGCAAUUGUGAGGUCCUUGAUUGUUCAGUUGCUGUAUAAAACACUUGUUUGUGCCCCUGAAGCAUCAUUUUGAAUUUAGGUAAGACUUCAAAACGAAUGUGUUCGAAAGGAAUAUGACCAUUUUUACCAUAGUUGUUAUUGGCUUUAAAAAAUAACAGAGGUAGUUUUUUAAGAUAAAGGAAUACAUGCUAUGGAUUGUUAAUUUUACUAGAGUAAUUGUUACUUGUAGGCUUGUUUAAUUUAAUGUUGCCCAAUAUCACUAUAUCCCCUCUUUGCAGCUAUCUAUGAUUGGAUCUAGAAUCAGGUUCAGAGUACUUUGCUUCCUGGAUUUGCAGUGGUACAUGUCCGGAAUGCAGAAAUUUGUUGUUUGGUUUCAUUGCUAUGGUUACCAUGUUAUCCAAAAUGAAUGGUCUAAUCCACAAAACUCACCCCCGCAGUUUGAAGAAGGUUAACAUAUUCAGCCUUACCUAUACAAAUAAAGAGGUCAUUUCCAUUGACUUUACAAACCUAAGUUGAGGACAAAAAGUCAAACUCAUCAUGGAGAUAAGGCCAACCUUUGAAGUCAUUUUUAUUAUAACAUUUUUCCUCCCACUAUUCAGUAUCUUGUUGGGACGUUUCUCACUAUUCAGUAUCUUGUUAGGACAUUUCUUAAGCUUAAAAAAUUUGGAAUUUGAACAUCGUCUCUGAUUUUUAUUCUGCUGUUAGUGUUACAUUUACUUUGUUCGCUAUAAACGGUGUAGAUUGGUAAUUGUCUUUGACUCUUUGUUUGGUUAAAUAUAUUGCAGUGUUGUUGAAAAUGUUUAGCUUAUGAUAAAACUUUUGGUGACUUUAUGGUGAAAAUUUGCAAUCAACUGAAUGAAUGCAUUCCUCUUGAUGACAUCGUGAUACAGUAUUGAAUGUGGAAGUGUACUGCCAAAGUGAUAGUGACCUUUUGUUGCCCGUGUUAUGAUGACCAGUUGAUUUUGCAAGAGGCAAAUCAUAUCUUACAAAUGGGUAUGGUAUAAGAUAACAGACAUGAUAGUAUACCUUACAUGCUGAUAUUGGCUGACAUGGAGGCCUAACAUUUUCAGAACCACGUGAAUAGAUGUUGGUGGAUUACUUUUUAUAGUUUUGAUUUUUUGGAACCUUUUUAUGUGCUUAUCUAUCAUAAAAUGGAACAAAUAAGUUUUGAUAGCAAGGAAUUUCUAUUUGUUUUUGGGCCAUUGUAUGGAAUAAAUAAGUUUUGAUAGAAGGAUUUUGUGGCACACAUCUUUUUCAAAUAAAUGGUCUUAGUUAAGGAAAGUUGAGAUUGAAUUCCAAAUACCAUUCAGUCAGCUAACACCCCAUGGUGCCUUAUUUUCUUUUCGUUCAAGAAUUUCGACUUCUUUUACUCUUUUGAUCGGCUUAGUUAGUUAGUAUUUGUUGAUAAGAUCUAUCACUAUGUUUAGAUUCCUUGGUCUUACCACUUCAAUUGAGGAUCCAACCUAACUCCAUGAGGUUGACUACGAUGGGCAAAUUUCAUCAUAAAAAACAGGUUAUUAAAUAUAUGUGUACUAGCCUUUGGCAUAUUAUUUUUCAUCGUAGUCUUUUGGAGGACAAUAAAAUGAAUUUUUUGUCCAUUUUUUAUGAGUAUGUGUUUCUUCAGUAGUUUGGUAUCAUGAAAUUAAUUUUAGGUACCCAUGAAAUAGUUUGUAUUAAAGAAUAUUUUGGUUGUUCAAGGUGUUGGGCGCGGAGCGAACCUCGAUUGAAGCUCGGGUCUAUCAUCAAUUUGAUGUUGGGAGACAAGUAGGUUUGGUAGAAGAUCCUACAAAACUAAAAAAGGGGCAUGCCCGACAAAAGCCUUUCCAAAGUAUAGUUGGAGAAACGUAACAUUUGCUUCAAAGGGUUCAAAAGGGGUGUUAAGUGACUUGCUCUUAGGGUUUCGAGGGUUUUUUUGCCUUUUAGGCGUAGUCGGAGAGGAAGGGAAUACGGUGUUGGUGACGGUUUGUGUCUUCGGACAAGAAGAGGAGACCGAUGAAGAGGUCACCGGCAUUCUCUCUCUUCUCCAAAACCCUCUGCUUCAUCUAUCGCCCUCGUCCCGCCGAUGCUCUACUUUCCUCCUCCUCCUCUUACUCCGUCGCCGCUACCGGAAGCGGAGCUCUUCAGCCCAGCAUCAUGGCCGAAUACCUCGUCACGUCAUGUGGCUUCUCCCCGGAGAAUGCGACCAAGGCCUCGAAUCUUCUCGGCGGCAUCACGUCCCGCCGGCAGCCCGACUCCGUCCUUGGCUUUCUCAAAAGCCACGGUUUCGACGACACCCAUAUGAAAGACCUGCUGUCUUGGAACCCCCGGUGUCUUCUCCUCGACGUGGAGACGACCCUAGCUGCCAAGUUCCGAUCUCUCCAGGAGUUAGGCUUCUCGCAGUCCGACAUCACCCACCUCGUCCUGGCCAAUCCCUUCGCAAUCAACUAUGACGUCCGCACCGUGGUGCACAAGAUCCGGUUUUGGCAGGGACUCAUCGGAUCCAACGACGUCCUCGUAAAUCUCUUUAAGAGCCGCCGGUGGUUUCUCGGGUUUAGCAUCGAGAAGAGGAUCCAGCCAAACAUCGAGAUGCUACGGAGCUGUGGAAUCACGGAUCAAAAGCUUAGAACGAUCCUGAGGUACCGGCCCACGAUGGUAACCCAGAGGGCGGAAACCUUGAGGGCUUUGAUCAGUCGUGUCGAGGGAUUCGGAGUACCCCGCACUUCGGGGAGGUUCCACUGGACUCUGUUGAUGCUCUCCACUCUUAGCGUGGAGAGAUGCAAUGCGCAAAAGAAGCUAUUCGAGGCCUUCGGGUGGUCAGAGGCCGACUUCCUCGAUGCAAUCAGAAAGACUCCUUUUUUCUUGACAGGUUCCCUGAAGAAUCUGAAGAUGAAAAUGGAAUUCUUGGUGAAUGAGGCUGGAUAUGCUCCGUCUUAUAUCGCCCUCCGGCCUGUGCUCUUGACACUUAGUUUAGAGAAAAGGUUGAUCCCAAGAUAUCAGCUCAUGGCAGCCCUGAAGUCCAGGGGGCUGUGCGCUGGUCAUCCCAAAUCGGUCACAUAUAUGCUGUGUCCAGAGAAGAAGUUCUUGGAAAGGUAUGUCAUCAUCUACAAGAAGCAGUUUCCGGAGCUCAUUGAAUUGUACAGUGCGAGAAAAUAGUAGUUCUGGAUUAGCUAGCUGUAGGUUUUGGCUCCUGCAAUCCAUGGUUUCUGGUUCCAGCCUUUUACUCUCUGCUUAACUUGAUCUGCAGUUUGAGACUUAUUAGUAAUAUGAUUUAUGUCAUUUGCUUCCUUUUUUUCUGGUGCAUUAAGAGGAAUGUAGCUGCAUACAUGUAGAAAGAAAGGAAAGCAAUAUGAAGUGGAACACAAUGACUUCUUGUAGCAUGUUGAUUCGGUCAAUUGUUUCCUGAUAAUUUCCUGCAUAGGAAAAAUUAUAUACUCUAGGAAUUUGUAGGAAUUGAUACUGUUGUCCCAUUCUUUUUUUUAACCUACUUCUGGGAACACAUUUGGCAGACAUGUGUGCUUGUGUGUGUGUGUGUGUGUGUCGUAGACUAUGAAACUGAAACCAAUUCUUUGUUUGAUCUAUGGCUCUCCUUGAUGUGCAUUGAAGUAGAUGCUUUGCUUAUGUUGUAGCUGAUAUCAUUAUGUUAUCAUGAAAAAUUUUGUCAUAACCCGGGCCUGAUAGGCUAACUGAUCUAUCAACUUCGUUUGGUCUAAACCACUGAUUAAAAUGUUUAAGCUGAAGUUAAUAAUAGUACACUCAUCAGACUCUUAUAAGUCAAUCUUAAUCUUGCCCACUUCCGAUUAGGGACAAAUCAGGGGUGUUACAAAUUUUGAGAUGAUGGUUUCAAAGGUCACAUUACUAUUACACUAUGGAGUUAUAUGGUUGCAUCCUUUUUUUCUCCUUUUAAUGAAAAAUUGGUGCUUUGCAAUUAGCUACUAGUGAAGUUCAUGUUUAUUUUGAUACGAUACGUCGAAUCUACGUGGAUGUUGUCUAAGAUUGAUCUAAUUUUGGUCAAUUUCUCAGCUGAAUCAGCUAUAAUCGUUUGAAAAUACUUUGAGUUUAUUGAUUUUUGGGUGAAUUUUACACUACUUGAUGACCUCAAACUCAAAGGGAAGAAAAAAGAAAGACGGAUGGAGAAGAAGAAAGAAAAGAGGAAAGUUGAGAUGGUGAAAAGAUAAAAGAAAAGAGAGAAAACUGUGAUUGUGAUUCUAAAUCAGAGGAGGGAACAUUGCUUUUGCUUUGCUUGCUAUUCACUGCAUCCAUCCACUGCAUUUGUUGUUUACUACUCCAUCCAUCGGGUAGAAUAGUGGACCCCAUCGGUCUUAGCUCCCUUUCCUUCUGUGAGAAAUACUUGUUAAUGAUUUAUACAACACUAAUUUUAGCCUAAUUUCAAUCUAUCGAGAUGUCAAAAUAUCAGUAAAAAAAGAAGAAAAUUAGCUGAUAAAUGAAUACGUGAAUAAAUUUGUGGCACAAACUCUUGUCUCGUCACAGAACCAUCGUAUAGUUGUACUAAGAUAAUAACAUUAAUCUAAAAAUCCAUACACAAAUAGAUAGAUUAUAUAUAUAUAUAUAUAUAUAUAUAUAUAUAUAUAUAUAUAUAGACACACACACGCACAAACCUCAUCCAAAUCCCCUUUCUCUGUCCCCAUUCUCCGUCCGCGAUACAUCGUCGUCGCUUUCCUUCGACAAAUGCGGAGAGAAGACAAAGAUUUGGAAUUCGACCGCUGGCCAAUUCGAAGCCCCAUUUGGUUUGGCUCCCCCCUUUCCUCCUUCCUCCCUUUUCUUGCUCCGAAUUAAAUCUUCUUAUGUGACGUUUGUCGUCUGAAACGACGAUUCUCUUUGCUAUCAUGCAUUUGAUUCGUCUACACGAGGAGGAUUGUGGUUUGAAUUAAAUGAGUACUGUGGGUUAUCUACUUGUUUUCAUGAUAAAGGGGAAUGACAAAGAAAGUCUGACAAAAAUGCCAACCAUGACAUGAAUCCCAACACAUUAUUAUGUUCCGCUGAAGUUUCAUUGGACUUAGCCAGUGUAAUUCUUUCAUUAAUUUGUUUAAUGCUUAUAAGGAGCAACAUACAGUUGGAUGACGUGUCCAAUGUAUCCAAAUUGUGAAAUUGGAGCUAUAAUUUCUCCCGUUGCACUACACAUUCGAUGACCUAGAAGUGGCAGAAAAUGAAAUAUAACUUUUACAUCGCAGUUUUAAUACUUAGAUGCAAGUGUUGGGAAUCUCAUUAGUUAUUGGAAUCGACAAGACACUUUAUAUGAUCCACAUGUCCAAUAAUAAUAAUGACCAAACACAUUUAUCAACUAGUCAUAAAUGAGAGACUUUUCAGAUAUUUAAAAUUAUUUUAAAUUGUUUUGAUGAUGAAAGAAAGCAUUAAGUAUACUUUAAAAAAAAAAUAAAGGAUUGGUGUCCCUUUUCUGGCCUAUCUAUACCAUCAAGGGAUAGACAUUAAGUUCCAUAAGACAUAUAUUAGAAGACACCAGUUGUUUCUUAAUAAAUUAAUCUAAGGAAUCCAAUAUGUGAAAUAAUCAAAGGCUUACUCUUGGACAACUAUGACUCAAGGUAAGUUUAUUUCGUUUCAUGUCCAAUAUAAAUCCAUUGUUUUGCUUACAACAAGAGCAUUUCAAAUCUGUAUGUAUAUGAGUUUUCUAAUCUACUGUUCUCAAUAUUAUUUUUUAAAACUACAUAGAAAGAAAAGAAAAGUGGUGGAUAAAAAUGUAAUAUUUACAUGGUAAUUUUAACUUUUAGAUACAAGUGCACUUCGAGCCUGUUUGCCUUUGCAUUUUAUAAUUAUUCUUUUUGAAUAUUGUUCUUCAACACUACUUAGAAAGAAAACACAAGAAGGUGCUACAAAGGUGCAUACACAGACUUCUUGAAUUUUUGCUGCAAGAAGUACUCGUGACACUUGUUUUAUGGCACAAAAAGUGCUGUUCGUUUCAAUGGUACUUGAGUGACACACUAAACUCAGCUCUAGUAGAUCAUAUGUACAAUGGGAUCUAACAUGCUGUUGUUCCUUUUUUCAUGCUUUUUGUAAACUUGUUAUGUCCAAGGUUGUAUUACUCCUUUCUGUUCAAGAACAUGCGAAAAAUGCUGAUUAUUUCAGUGUUUUGACUUUUAUUUCAUGUCUCAACAUGCUUUGUAAUUAAUCUUUAAUUAUUUGUUACAUAUGCUGUUGCUUACUGAUGGGGUCAAGGAUUUCAAAUAACGUUUGUGAUUGAAACUGAGGAUUUGAAAUAAUGUUUGUGACUGAAACUGAACAGAUAGAAUUGUAAGGCAACAGAGAUUCUCUGAUGAACUCUAUCUCAACGAAUGGCUGUUAUAAUAUUUUGGUCUUUGUUAUAUACAUAUUUACAUGAAUAUUUCCUGUGAAAUUUAGUUUUGUGGUAUAAAGCACUAUUAUCAGCAUGGUUUCUUUAUUGUUUAUCUAUAUCUAUAAUGUUUCAUGUUGUGUUUUUCUUGGACUGCUCAUUCAGUUCUGUUAAUUCCCUGCUUUUCAGUUUUGUUUCUGUCCUCUCUCUAUAUGUGUUUUCCACAAGGAACCAAUAUUCUUGACCUUACAUGCUAUUCAAUUAUAGGCUUUUGGAAUUGUUCCUCCAUACUGAAACAUUAGCAUUUUUGUGACAAUGGAAAAUUUGAUUUGUUCUUCUUAUUUUUUGUAUUUCUUGGAGUUUUAAAGUAUGACGUUGUUAUGCACGUGAAAGUAAAUUGAACGGUGCAAUUCUGCAGUUCUGUACUAUAUGCCCUUAGUUCUGGAAGAUGAAGGACUGAAGUAGGUGCAAUGGCAUUGAUAGCACAUCACACACAGGUUCUUAAUGCUAAAACCCAUGCUGCUAAUUUCGUAGCCUUUACAUCCCCUUUCAUUUUUCUGCACUUUCUUCCUUUAGUUGCUGUCUAUGUCAUGUUUGCUAAUAUUCAUAAUCAAUAGAAGACUAUAAUAUAGUAUUCUAAGGUUAUGCUGUUUUUUGUCAACCUUCAGGGUUCUUUUUCAACACAUUCACUGAGUUGUAGUGCAUCAAGUAGAAGGGCAAAUGUGAGGUCCUCGAUUGUUCAGUUGCUGUAUAAAACACGUGUUUGUGCCCCUGAAGCAUCAUUUUCAUUUUAGGUAUGACUUAAACACGAAUGUGUUCGAAAGGAAUAUGACCAUUUUUGCCAUAGUUGUUAUUGGCUUUAAAAAAUAACAGAGGUAGUUUUUUAAGAUAAAGGAAUACAUGCUAUGGAUUGUUAAUUUUACUAGAGUAAUUGUUACUUGUAGGCUUGUUUAAUUUAAUGUUGCCCAAUAUCACUAUACCUCCUCUUUGCAGCUAUCUAUGAUUGGAUUUAGAAUCAGGUUCAGAGUACUUUGCUUCCUGGAUUUGCAGUGGUACAUGUCCGGAAUGCAGAAAUUUGUUGUUUGGUUUCAUUGCUAUGGUUACCAUGUUAUCCAAAAUGAAUGGUCUAAUCCACAAAACUCACCCCCGCAGUUUGAAGAAGGUUAACAUGUUCAGCCUUACCUAUACAAUUAAAGAAAGAGGUCAUUUCCAUUGACUUUACAAACCUAAGUUGAGGACAGAAAGGCAAACUCAUCAUGGAGAUAAGGCUAACCUUUGAAGACAUUUUUAUUAUAACAUUUUUCCUCCCACUAUUCAGCAUCUUGUUGGGACAUUUCUCACUAUUCAGUAUCUUGUUAGGACAUUUCUUAAGCUUAAAAAAUCUGGAAUUUGAACAUCGUCUCUGAUUUUUAUUUUGCUGUUAGUCUUACAUUUACUUUGUUUGGUAUAAACGGUGUAGAUUGGUAAUUGUCUUUGACUCUUUGUUUGGUUAAAUAUAUUGCAGUGUUGUUGAAAAUGUUUAGCUUAUGAUAAAACUUUUGGUGACUUUAUGGUGAAAAUUUGCAAUCGACUGAAUGAAUGCAUUCCUCUUGAUGACAUCGUGAUAUAGUAUUGAAUGUGGAAGAGUACUGCCAAAGUGAUAGUGACCUUUUGUUGCCUCUGUAUUAUGAUGACCAGUUGAUUUUACAAACUAGACCAUUAUAGUUUGGCUGAUUGAUUUUGCAAGAGGCAAAUCAUAUCUUACAAAUGGGUAUGGUAUAAGAUAACAGACAUGAUAGUAUACCUUACAUGCUGAUAUCGGCUGACAUGGAGGCCUAACAUUUUCAGAACCACAUGAAUAGAUGUUGGUGGAUUGCUUUUUAUAGUUUUGAUUUUUUGGAACCUUUUUAUGUUCUUGUCUCUCAUAAAAUUGAAUAAAUAAGUUUUGAUAGAAGGAUUUUGUGGCACACAUCUUUUUCAAAUAAUUGGUCUUAGUUAAGGAAAGUUGAGAUUGAAUUCCAAAUACCAUUCAGUCAGCUAACACUGCAUGGUGCCUUUUUUUCUUUUCGUUCAAGAAUUUUGACUUCUUUUACUCUUUUGAUCGGCUUAGUCAGUUAGUAUUUGUUGAUAAGAUCUAUUGCUAUGUUUAGAUUCCUUGGUCUUACCACUUCGAUUGAAGAUCCAACCUAACUCCAUGAGGUUGACUACGUUGGGCAAAUUUCAUCAUAAAAAAUAGGUUAUUAAAUAUAUGUGUACUAGUCUUUGGCGUAUUAUUUUUCAUCGUUGUCUUUUGGAGGACAAUAAAAUGAAUUUUUUAUCCAUUUUUUAUGGGUAUGUGUUUCUUUAGUAGUUUGGUAUCAUGAAAUUAAUUUUAGGUACCCAUGAAACAGUUUGUAUUAAAGCAUAUUUUGGUUGUUCAAGGUGUUGGGCGCGGAGCCAACCUCGAUUGAGUAGGUUAGGUAGAAGAUCCUACAAAACUAAAUCAGAGGCAUGCCCGACAAAAGUCUUUCCAAAGUAGAGCUGGAGAAAUGUAAUAGUUGCUUUAAAGGGUUCAAAGGGCUGUUAGGUGACUUAGCAUACCUAGGACAUUUUAUAUAAAGCUUUGGUAAUCGUCAAUAUUAAGUGGGAAGUUAAUUUGUGGAAUUAUUAAGCGUUACUCGAUCGUGGAGAGUUAACCAAACCAUCAGGACAUUUCCAUUAGCAUAGUCGUGCGAACUUGGUAUAUUAUAGUUGUCCAAUGUGUUGGGCCAUGGAGCUAACCUUGAUUCAAGCUUGGGUCUAUUGUCAGUUUAAUCUCGCUAGAUGAUUGGGUUCAAUAGGGGCAUAUGCAAAAUUUAGUCGGGGACAUACCAAACAAAAGUCUUUGAUGCUUAUGUUAGUAUAUCUAGAGAAAUGUAAUGUAGGAUUCGGAGGUUUCAAAGAGCACUACCUAGGGCUUUUUAAUAAGGGUUUUGAUUACCAUCAAAAUUAAGUGGUUUCGUUGGAUUGUUGGGUGUUACUCGGAUGUGAGGAGUCACUCAAACCGUUAAGAGAUAUAUGGCAGCUUCAUGGCUGGAUUUGACCAUAUUAGAGAUACAGGGAGUUUCGUGGCUAGAUUCGAUCGCAUUCGGGAUAGAGAAUAAUUCAUUAUCAUAUUCCAUUACAUCGUUGAUAAAGGAUACUUUAUGGUCAUAUUCGGCCACGUUGGAGAAAUGAUGCUUCAUGUCGAAGUCAAUUGCAUCGAGGGCUCGAGAUGCAUCUUGGCAACAUCAUCAAGCUUUUUUUAUCGUUUUUCUACCACAAGCCACUCCAACUACAAGCUCGACUUACCUUUGUUCUACAAUUGAAAUACGAUUUGCUUUAGUAACAACGUCAUAUUAAUUUUUGAUGAUUUGACAUUUUUGCCCUGAUACUUGAUCUUUUAUGUUUGAUUGGGGCCUUCCAUAUCGUGCACCACUCAAAUUAACGAAAAAGCUAAGGAUAAGGUAGUGAAGGCCUAACAAUGCCUGACCCCUAUAAAAGGGAGCCUUAGUUGUAUCUGAGCUUCCUACUUUACAAAGCCACCAUCUUUGAUACUAAACAAACAGGUGGCUGCAGUCUGUGGGCAAAGGCAUCCAUGGAAGCCACCUUCUUCAUUUUAGUAGGUAAAAGCAGUUAACCUUACCUGUCUUCCCCACCCGAUGAACAGCUUCCUUGAAGCUUCCUACAGUUUCUUGCACUCAGCUGAUUGGACUCAGAAAAUAAAUAUUUCAUCUUAUUUAAUGUCAGUUUUCAGAAUUAUAUACCCUCAGCAACCUUUUUUUUUUUCUAUUCAAGGACAUAAAACUGCUUUGUUGAUAAAUUUUGCUGUUAAUCUCGAGUUUUGGUAAAUUGAGAGCUAUGUCAUGAUGUCUUUAGAACUAAAUUUGGCACAACAGGAUAAAUUUCUAGCAUGCUUCUUAACCCUAAUGUUAGAAACCUAGUGGAUUCAGGUACAUGUUGCAUGAAACUCCACACACUCAUCAGGCUUGAUUGAAUUUUUAUGAGACUCACAUCGUGACAUCCAAGUUGAUGCUAAUUUAAUGAUUUAGUUUGAGGAGUCAUUACAUCCAAAUGCGAGCUUACUCAACGCACUUGAUCAGUGUCAUAGGAAACAUAUAUAUUAUCAUGAUAGAGUAUGAAAGCUUAGAUUAGGUAUAUAAAACACUAAGUGAUAGACAGAGUAGUAUCAGCAUGAAUAUGAAUGUUAGCUAGAUAUAUAAUUCAUGGUGUAGGAUUCAUGACAAAGGAGGUGAGUUGUACAUUAAAAGUUGUCUUAGUUGCCCAGUGAAGAAAAAAAAGGCUUUUUCAUUAAGUUCAUGAACCUGAAACACUGGUCCAAAGUGUUUAUUCAUUUAUUUUAUGAGCCUUGAAGUAUUUUUUUGUUCAUCAUCUCGACCCAGUCUGAUAACUUAUUAAUUUGAUGAGUAUGAAACACUAAUUCAAAGCACUUGCAUCCAUAUUAAUGAAAAUAGACUUAUUUAACAAUCUGCCCCACUUAUGUUUAACAUAUUGAACUUUACACUCAGCCAUCUUUUCUGGUUUGGGUACCUCAUCAUGCCCAUUAAUAAAUCCCCCUUGAUAUGAUUUGUCACAACUUGAUCUGAGGAGAUAUCUUAAUAACAUUAUGAAUCUGAACUAAGUGCUUAGGCCAAAGUUAAUAACGAUAAACUUAUGUAGCUCUAUAUACCAAUUUGAUUGAGCUGUUGUAUGUGAUGUAGAUCUAAACAUGCGGCAUCACAUUCUUUUAUCCUGCUAUAAAUGCUCCUCAUCUUCAUGGCUUCACCUAAACAUCACUUGAAGUCCUCACAAGAACAGCCAUGUCUUCUCUUGGAGCCAGCUAUGCUUACAUCCAUGAACUGAGGAAACGCUGCAAGGAAAUGGAGAGGAAGAAGACAGAUGGUGGUGUGGCCACAGAGGAGAAGAGCUCCAAGGGAAGAGUUCAUCCUAGUGACACCCCUUCACCAGUGUGUCGUGAAGAACGAGGUGAAGGUAAUUGUUGGAGAAGCUCGGUCACCAAAUAAAUCCCCAAAAAAGAAAGAUGAUGAAUUAUUGGGUGUUGAUGGGGGGCUUGUUUUACAUUUAGACAAUGCUAUGUCCACAUAUAUAUAUUUUGCCUUCCAAUGUUCCAAGUCUCUUUAGUAGGGAAAUGUGGGAGGAAUAAUCAUCCAAUUGUUUUCUUUUUCUCUACCUAGAUACGACAGAAAUAGAUGUUGCUUUCAUUAUUAACAUAGUCAGGUUCAUAGCCAUAUGGAAGUUUUUUUAAUGAAUAUUUUUCUUCUAUCAUAUCAAAUUGCACACAAGAUACAAGCUCAACAAUGGAUGGUAAUAUUAUGGAAUAAUCACAUUUAUGGCCAACUAAGGAUCAGAAUAUUUUAAGGAUGGUAAUAUGUAUCCUAGAGAUUAUCCAAACUCAACAAUGAAGACAACAACAAUUGAAGUUUGUAUGCGGGUUUCAAUUUUACUUAUAACUUAAAUUCAUCUUUGAUAAGAAUGAUCUCUCAGCUGAUUGUUAGGGUUGACAAGUAUUUUAAAAAUAAAUUUAUUUGGAGGAUAAAAAAUUUAAAUUUUAUGAAAAGAAAUUUUUGUGAAUCAGAGUUUAGUUGUCUUGUAAAUAUCUAAUAUAUCUCAACGUCUUAACAAGACAUCAUGAAAAAAAAAAAAAAAAAAAAAAAACCCUUGGUGGUGAUAAUUUUAUACUGAUAAUUUUGAGCUUUUAUCUAUCAGAUUAUUUUAAUGUCCCUCAGACAACUUUUUGCUCGUGUCAAUCGAUCCUGUUGCCCAAGUGCAAGAAUUCUGGCAUCUUGAUACUGAAUUUGCUCCUUUUUUUUUCUUUUGUUUUCUUCUAUUUCCGUUCUUUGGGUUGUAGACUUUGUGCUCUAAUUUUGAGUUGGAUUUCCUAUAGUCUGAAAAGCUAUUGCUCUUCUUCGUUCAUAAUCAGCCAUAUUUUUGCUCCUUUGGCUUUCAGAAUCUGGUUGGAGCAAGCAAGUUCUUUUAUGGAUGUCAUCUUUGGCAUGGAUUGACGACCUCCAAGCAGAAGCAUUCCUCUGAUCUGAUCACCAGGCCUACUCAAUCGUGGUCCUCGAUGAACAUGAGAUAAAAGUACCUUGGCCUGCUUACAAAGUACAAGCUUCCAAGUGCAAGCUUCCUCUUGUUAACUCAAACAUAGACUGGAGUAGCUUUAAGAGGAUACCAGCUACUCCUAGAGUCCUUAACUUUCUGCUUAGAACUUCAUAGAACACAUUUUCUCAUUUCGGACAGACUUGCUGCUUUAAAUAUUUCCUUACUUCAUCAAUUUUGGUGCUGCAGAAUAUGAGACUGAAUCCAUCCAUAAAAGAUCGUAUCUUCUUUUCUUGUCAAUUUGCUCGAGAGUUUUGGAACUACUUUCAGAUCCAUUUGAAUGAAAUUUUAAUUUCAUUGCAGCUUUUAAAUGAUUAAAAUAUUUUUAUUUAGACAGAUUACAAAUCAUAUCGGUUUUUCUUGUUAUCAGUUAAACAAAGUUGAAGGUUUAUUAUGAUAAAUUUAUAUAUAUAUCUUAUUAUGAUGAUGGAUUGUGGUCUGAAAUCCAUCUAAUUAAUUUGUAUGCAUAAAUAUUUUAUCCAAUGAGUUUAUACAUCUAAAUUAACAAAAAAAUUGGUCUAAUAAUUUUAUCUAAAAUAUUCUAUCCAAUUUAUUGAGAAUAUUAACUUCCAUCUGCGAAUUCUCUCUCCACCGCUUGCUCUUAGGGUUUCGAGGUUUUUUGCUUUUUAGGCGCAGUCGGAGAGGAAGGGAAUACGGUGUUGGUGACGGUUUGUGUCUUCGGACAAGAAGAGGAGACCGAUGAAGAGGUCACCGGCAUUCUCUCUCUUCUCCAAAACCCUCUGCUUCAUCUAUCGCCCUCGUCCCGCCGAUGCUCUACUUUCCUCCUCCUCCUCUUACUCCGUCGCCGCUACCGGAAGCGGAGCUCUUCAGCCCAGCUUCAUGGCCGAAUACCUCGUCACGACAUGUGGCUUCUCCCCGGAGAAGGCGACCAAGGCCUCGAAUCUCCUCGGCGGCAUCGCGUCCCGCCGGCAGCCCGACUCCGUCCUUGGCUUUCUCAAAAGCCACGGUUUCGACGACACCCAUGUGAAAGAGCUGCUGUCUGGGAACCCCCGGUGGCUUCUCCUCGACGUGGAGACGAACCUGGCCGCCAAGUUCCGAACUCUCCAGGAGUUAGGCUUCUCACAGUCCGACAUCACCCACCUCGUCGUGGCCAAUCCCUCCGCAAUCAACUGUCGCGUCCCCACCAUGGUGCACAAGAUCCGGUUUUGGCAGGGACUCAUCGGAUCCAACGACCUACUCAUAAAGGUCUUUAAGCGCCGCCAGUGGAUUCUCG